rnacentral:rRNA from 1 species
AUUGAACGCUAGCGGGCUGCUUUACACAUGCAAGUCGAACGAGUGGCGGACGGGUGAGUAAUAUAUCGGAACGUGCCCAAUAGAGGGGGAUAACUACUCGAAAGUGUGGCUAAUACAGCAUACUAUUGGAUCGUCCGAGAUUGGAUUAGCUAGUGGGUGGGGAAAAGGCUCACCAAGGCAACGAUCCGUAGCUGGUCGGCGAGGAGGACCAGCAACACUGGGAUGGAGACACGGGCCAGACUCCUACGGGAGGCAGCAGUGGGGAAUGUUGGACAAGGGGCGAAAGUCUGAUGCAGCCAUGCCGCGUGUAUGAGAAGGUCUUCGGGGUGUAAAGUACUGUGGGCAGAGAAGCGGUAUCUGCAGAAUAAGCACCGGCUAACUACGUGCCAGCAGCCGCGGUAAUAC